GGUUCAAGUNCCUCUAUCCCCA
rnacentral:tRNA from 1 species